AUACCAAUCUAGCCUGGCUAGGUGUUGGGCUUCGCCAUCUGGCGGGCUUUAAAACUAGUGGCGGUGCUCUUAGGCUCUACGCGUAGUAAUUUUCUCGCCACAGAGUCCUGGGAGAUGCUUGCCAGCAACCCCAAAUUUUUCUA
rnacentral:misc_RNA from 1 species